UACGAAGGGGGCUAGCGUUGUUCGGAAUUACUGGGCGUAAAGCGCACGUAGGCGGAUUUGUAAGUCAGGGGUGAAAUCCCGGGGCUCAACCUCGGAACUGCCUUUGAUACUGCAAGUCUCGAGUCCGAUAGAGGUGAGUGGAAUUCCUAGUGUAGAGGUGAAAUUCGUAGAUAUUAGGAAGAACACCAGUGGCGAAGGCGGCUCACUGGAUCGGUACUGACGCUGAGGUGCGGAAAGCGUGGGGAGCAAACAGGGAUUAGAAACCCUGG
rnacentral:rRNA from 1 species